GAACCUAGCCUCUCCUCAGGAUUCUUCUUCAACAGCUACAAGAAGUGAAAAUAGCCGUUACACUGAAGAAGCAGAAGCUUCAGGGAACUCAAGAGAAAGUGGUCACUGAUUAUAAUAAACUGAAAGCUCAGCGCUACUUACCUGUGAUAUGAAGCUUACUGCUUCGGAGUCCAGGGAUGAGGGGUAGUGUGGCUCAUCCUCCACGAUGGAAUCAUAUAUAAAGUCCCUGUCGUAUCCGGUGAAAGGCUUUUAAAUGGGGAUCACUGGCCCCAUCU